CCACCUCCACCCUGUGCAGAAGGGAUGGAAAUUCUACAGCCAAGGGUUAUCAUUGAUCAAGAAUAUCCAUGAAAGGUAUUUUUGUCAUGAGGGAAGUGGCUGAGUUACCUUUUAGCAUAAAGGGAAUGAAUGAAGAGUAGAGUGAGUCAGGGAGAGUAAAUUUUGGCCUUUGUUAAUAGAAACUUCAUAAGGAAACCUGGAAAUGUUUUAAUGGAAUUCAGG